rnacentral:rRNA from 1 species
UGGGGAAUAUUGGGCAAUGGAGGCAACUCUGACCCAGCAACGCCGCGUGAGCGAUGAAGGUCUUCGGAUUGUAAAGCUCUUUAAGCGGGGACGAAGAAAGUGACUGUACCCGCAGAAUAAGCCUCGGCUAACUACGUGCCAGCAGCCGCGGUAAUACGUAGGAGGCAAGCGUUAUCCGGAAUGACUGGGCGUAAAGGGUGCGUAGGUGGUUUGGCAAGUUGGUAGCGUAAUCCCGGGGCUCAACCUCGGUGCUACUACCAAAACUGUCGAACUUGAGUGCAGGAGGGGUGAAUGGAAUUCCCAGUGUAGCGGUGGAAUGCGUAGAUAUUGGGAAGAACACCAGCGGCGAAGGCGAUUCACUGGACUGUAACUGACACUGAGGCACGAAAGCGUGGGGAGCAAACAGG